AAUAUCCUGGGCCCGUCUCCAAGACCUAUUCCACUGGCUUGCUCCUCACCCACUCCACAGAGCAGUAGCAGCAGUAGAAGCAGGGCUGUGAGCUCCUCACUCACUCCACAUAGCAGUAGUAGCAGGGCUGUGAGCUCCUCACCCACUCCACAUAGCAGCAGCAUCAGGGCUGUGAGCUCCUCACCCACUCCACAUAGCAGCAGUAGCAGGGCUGUGAGCUCCUCACCCACUCCACAUAGCAGCAGCAUCAGGGCUGUGAGCUCCUCACCCACUCCACAUAGCAGCAGUAGCAGGGCUGUGAGCUCCUCACCCACUCCACAUAGCAGCAGCUAGCAGGGCUGUGAGCUCCUCACCCACUCCAAAUAGCAGCAGGGCUGUGAGCUCCUCACCCACUCCACAUAGCAGUAGAAGCAGGGCUGUGAGCUCCUCAGUGACGCCACAGAGCAGCAGUAGCAGGGCUGUUAGAAGGGAGGAAAGAGCUGCAGACUCGGCCCUUGACACAUCACUGGCAAAGACAUUGCAAAUGAUUUUGAAGACAGAUCUCAAAAUCUGAAGAACGUCAUGCACCGGAUCCACCAGCUUAUCCCUGAGGGCCCUGGUACUUAUAGCUGAUUUCAUGGACGAGGAAUUCUAUCAACAACUGCAUUUCAUCAAGAAGAGGACAUGGUCCCAACGACUGGGACCCCAGUGAAAUUAACAACUUCUUCUGUUGUUCAGACAUCUCAGGAGUCAGAUGCCGUUUUACUAUUGUUCCCAAAAUAUUUCUAGUCCUCAUAAAUAUUUGUAUCAACACUGAAACUUUUGUAAACAACGUUUGUUGUUUACGUGUCUGGUCAUAGCAGACAAUGGUGUAUUGCAUUUUACGCCAGAAUAAAGAUGUAUUUUUGUGUGCUGAAAAAGCUCUGUUGGCUUCUUCUUCGCAAUACAAGAUGAUUGAAUGCAUUAAAUUUGAACAUCAGGUGCUGAUAACAACAUAGAGCUGCGAGCCACAGACUGAUAACGUAGAGAAGAGCUGUCAGCCACAGACUGAUAACGUAGAGAAGAGCUGUCAGCCACAGACUGAUAACGUAGAGAAGAGCUGUCAGCCACAGACUGAUAACGUAGAGAAGAGCUGUCAGCCACAGACUGAUAACGUAGAGAAGAGCUGUCAGCCACAGACUGA